UUGGAGGGCAAGUCUGGUGCCAGCAGCCGCGGUAAUUCCAGCUCCAAUAGCGUAUAUUAAAGUUGUUGCAGUUAAAAAGCUCGUAGUUGAAUUUCGGGACCAUCAUGUCGGUCGUGCCUCGGUACGUACUGGCAUUGUUGGUUUCUCCCUUCUGACGAACCAUGAUGUCAUUUAUUUGGUGUUGUGGGGAAUCAGGACUGUUACUUUGAAAAAAUUAGAGUGUUUAAAGCAGGCUCACGCUUGAAUACAUUAGCAUGGAAUAAUGAAAUAGGACGUUUGAUUCUAUUUUGUUGGUUUCUAGGAUCGACGUAAUGAUUAAUAGGGAUAGUUGGGGGCAUUAGUAUUCAAUUGUCAGAGGUGAAAUUCUUGGAUUUAUUGAAGACUAACUACUGCGAAAGCAUUUGCCAAGGAUGUUUUCAUUAAUCAAGAACGAAAGUUAGGGGAUCGAAGACGAUCAGAUACCGUCGUAGUCUUAACCAUAAACUAUGCCGACUAGGGAUCGGAUGAUGUUAAUUUUUUAAUGACUCAUUCGGCGCCUUACGGGAAACCAAAGUGUUUGGGUU
rnacentral:rRNA from 1 species